UUACUACUCCCUCCGUCCGAAAAUACUUGUCAUCAAAAUGGAUAAAAAGAGAUGUAUGUAGAACUAAAAUACAUCUAGAUACAUCUCCUUUUAUCCAUUUUGAUGACAAGUAUUUCCGGACGGAGGGACUGUUUU
rfam:Triticum aestivum genome assembly, contig: Triticum_aestivum_CS42_TGACv1_scaffold_272901_3DS